UUUGUUUCCUCUGGGGACCUCUUUCACUCCCACAAAUAUCCUACAACCCUUGAGUAGGAAUUAAAACCCAUCAGAGAUCGAAAUAGAAUUGGUUAUGGUAAAAGGGAGCUGAAACAGUGAGAAAGGGAGGAGAAGGGAAGAAAGAUUAAGGCAGACAAGGGAACCUGUGGAGAGAGUGAGAGCUAGAGACAGAAGGAGAGAAGAGGCAGGGCCGUGGAAACAGACACACCAUCUCUCCAAGUCCUUCUCAAAGACACUGGAAGAGUUCUGGAAACCGAACAGGAUGUGGAAUGUAUGCCCUGCAGGCUGGUCUCUUUCCUGAGAGCUGAGAUGUCCUGUCCUAAGAACAGAGCCUGGCACGUGUCGGACAACUGUGGAGGGAACUGAUGAGUGAAAGAGAGAAUGGAGAAAGGAAUGAAUCAGCAUAAGCCCCACAGGGACAAAGACUGUAACUGGAGCACCCUUUCAUCCCCACUGCUGGACACAGGGUGGGGAACACUAAAUGUGCGCUACGCAUUGUUUAUCGAAACAGGCUCUACAUCAAAAUAAAAAACAAAACG
ensembl:lncRNA LINC02841 long intergenic non-protein coding RNA 2841